rnacentral:siRNA from 1 species
GAUACUGACGUGGUGUCGAUCGAC